GCUUGCUUCAGCAGCACAUACUAAAAUUGGAACAAUACAGAGAAGAUUAGCAUGGCCCUUGCGCAAGAUGACACACAAAUUCAUGAAGCGUUCCAUAUUAAA